GCCCUGGGCCUAAUCCAAGGUGAUACCUGCCCAAUGGUUAAAAAACAAAUCCUUUAAAAGAAAUUAUUCAACCAAAUGGCUGCAGUAUUCCUGACUGUAUUAAGGUAGCACAAUCAAUCGCCACUUAAUUGGUGGAUAGAAUGAAUGGUAUAACGAAAGUUUCACUGUCUCAAGUAUAAAAAGGAAAAAAUUGAAAUAAUAGUCAAGAUGCUAUUUAAAAUCGUAAGACGAUAAGACCCUAUAAAGCUUUACUGUUAAUAUUUAUAUAUAAAUAUUAAGACAGUUUACUUGGGGCAAGGACUUUUUAAAAAGAAAAAAAGUAAACAAAAAUUAAUAAUAAUAAUUUAUUGUAUAAAUUAAAAUUUUAACAAUUACUAAGUAGGUUAUAAUGACCUGUUAACAUAUAAAAACAAAGUUAACAAUCAAUUGAUAAAAGCUACUUUAGGGAUAACAGGAUAAUUUCAUCAAAGAGAUGGUAUCACUGAUGAAGUUUGUCACCUCGAUGUUGAAUUAAGAUAACCUAACGGAGCAAAAGCUGUUAAAGGUAGGUCUGUUCGACCUUUAAAUAUCUU
rnacentral:rRNA from 1 species